CAGCAGCCGCGGUAAUACGAAGGGUGCAAGCGUUAAUCGGAAUUACUGGGCGUAAAGCGUGCGUAGGUGGUGGUUUAAGUCCGUUGUGAAAGCCCUGGGCUCAACCUGGGAAUUGCAGUGGAUACUGGGUCACUAGAGUGUGGUAGAGGAUAGUGGAAUUUCCGGUGUAGCAGUGAAAUGCGUAGAGAUCGGAAGGAACAUCUGUGGCGAAGGCGACUAUCUGGGCCAACACUGACACUGAGGCACGAAAGCGUGGGGAGCAAACAGGAUUAGAGACCCCCGUAGUCCCUGUCUCUUAUAC
rnacentral:rRNA from 1 species